rnacentral:rRNA from 1 species
CCCUUAGAUGUCCUGGGCCGCACGCGCGUUACACUGAUGCAUUCAACGAGCUUAUAACCUUGGCCGAGAGGCCUGGGCAAUCUUGUUAACGUGCAUCGUGAUAGGGAUAGAUUAUUGAAAUUAUUAAUCUUGAACGAGGAAUUCCUAGUAAACGCAGUUCAUCAAUCUGCAUUGAUUACGUCCCUGCCCUUUGUACACACCGCCCGUCGCACCUACCGAUUGGAUGGUCCGGUGAAGCCUCGGGAUUGUGGUUCUUGCCGCUUUAUUGUGGCGUGACCGCGAGAACUUGUCUAAACCUUAUCAUCUAGAGGAAGGUGAAGUCGUAACA